rnacentral:lncRNA from 1 species
UAACAUAUUGCAACAAUCUUAUCAUGUCUCAGAGAAUCCAAUGAUUCCUGAGGAGUUUAACGUAUUACAACAAUGUCAACAUGUGUCAGAGAAUCCAAUGAUUCCUGAGGGGUUUAACGUAUUACAACAAUGUCAACAUGUGUCAGAAAAUCCAAUGAUUCCUGAGGGGUUUCAAUUAUUACAACAAUCAUAUCAUAUCUCAAAGAAUCCAAUGAUUCCUGAUGAGUUUAACGUAUUACAACAAUCUUAUCAUGUCUCAGAGAAUCCAAUGAUUCCUGAGGAGUUUAACAUAUUACAACAAUCUUAUCAUGUCUCAGAGAAUCCAAUGAUUCCUGAGGAGUUUAACGUAUUACAACAAUGUCAACAUGUGUCAGAGAAUCAAUAUUGAUUCUGAGGAGUUUAACAAUAUUACAACAAUCUUAUCUUAUCUCGAUCAAUGAUUCUGAGGGGUUUCAAUUAUUACAAAAAUCUUAUCAUAUCUGAAAUCCAAUGAUUCCAUUGAGGGUUUCAGUAUAUACAAAAAUCUUAUCAUAUCUCAGAGAAUCCAAUGAUUCCUGAGGAGUUUAACGUAUUACAAAAAUCUUAUCACAUCUCAGAGAAUCCAAUGAUUUCUGAGGAGUUUAACUUAUUACAACAAUCUUAUCAUAUCUCAGAGAAUCCAAUGAUUCCUGAGGGGUUUCAAUUAUUACAACAAUCUUAUCAUAUCUCAGAGAAUCCAAUGAUUCCUGAUGAGUUUAACGUAUUACAACAAUCUUAUCAUAUCUAAGAGAAUCCAAUGAUUCCUGAGGAGUUUAACGUAUUACAACAAUCUUAUCAUGUCUCAG